UAAUUCAUAAAUCAAUCUCUGAUUUAUUCCACAGACUCACUUCUUAGUAUUUAAAAACUAUCCAUUAUUCUUCAAUAACAAAGAAAAACAAAGAGGUAGCACCAAGCUUAAUCUCGGUUCAUGACUAUCACAAUCUGAUACUCAGACUAACUUCUACAACUCCUAUAUACUUACUUCCUAUUCCCAAAUUCUAACCGUAAUCUUAUAAUUAACCAUUUUUAAUAACUAAGUUAACCAUCCGUCUUCCUAAAUUGACUAUUCUAUGGACUAUUAGUCUAUUUUAUCAAUAUCUUACAGAAACGAAUUAAUAUCUAUUCUACAUAAUCCCACUCCUAUCUGUGUAGUGUUCUCGCAAAUACACAAUUGUUACCUAAUUAAAAACUACUUAACAAAAUUCUACAAAGUUACUAUUUCCUUUGGCCCACCCAAUUGUUAUUUGUUGCAUUAUCUAAUGUGGGUUCUACCGAUUCUAGUUCUAAAUUCAAAUCGUCCUCCUCCUCCAAUCUGUCCAUCGACUCCUUCCUCAAUUGGUUUGAGAGAUUUUCAUUAUACUCUCCUAAUUUAUGGGCUUGAGCCUCUAGUUUCAAGAUCUGGGCAUCACGGAGUUCCAAUUGAUGCUGCUGCUGACUCAUCUAUUCUAUAACAUCUUCAAUUGACGCUUGUGAUCGGCUCCUCACUAUUAACUCUUAACUAGAAUUACUACUCUCGACUAUACAAGAAACACAAGAAAUAGCAAUCUCAGAAAAAACAAUCCA
rnacentral:lncRNA from 1 species